rnacentral:tRNA from 1 species
GCCCGGAUGGUGGAAUCGGUAGACACAAGGGACUUAAAAUCCCUGGCCGUUAAGGUGUGCGGGUUCAAGUCCCGCUCCGGGUA